rnacentral:rRNA from 1 species
UACGGAGGGGGCUAGCGUUGUUCGGAAUUACUGGGCGUAAAGCGCACGUAGGCGGCUUGGUAAGUUAGAGGUGAAGGCCUGGAGCUCAACUCCAGAAUUGCCUUUAAGACUGCCGAGCUAGCAGGUGAGAGAGGUGAGUGGAAUUCCGAGUGUAGAGGUGAAAUUCGUAGAUAUUCGGAAGAACACCAGUGGCGAAGGCGGCUCACUGGCUCAUACUGGACGCUGAGGUGCGAAAGCGUGGGGAGCAAACAGG